ACUCCUACGGGAGGCAGCAGUGGGGAAUAUUGGACAAUGGGCGAAAGCCUGACCCAGCAACGCCGCGUGAGGGAUGACGGCCUUCGGGUUGUAAACCUCUUUCAGCAGGGACGAAGCGCAAGUGACGGUACCUGCAGAAGAAGCACCGGCCAACUACGUGCCAGCAGCCGCGGUAAUACGUAGGGUGCAAGCGUUGUCCGGAAUUAUUGGGCGUAAAGGGCUCGUAGGCGGUCCAUCGCGUCGGGAGUGAAAAGCUGGGGCUUGACCCCAGUCCUGCUUCCGGUACGGGUGGACUAGAGGUAGGUAGGGGAGAUCGGAAUUCCUGGUGUAGCGGUGAAAUGCGCAGAUAUCAGGAGGAACACCGGUGGCGAAGGCGGAUCUCUGGGCCUUACCUGACGCUGAGGAGCGAAAGCAUGGGGAGCAAACAGGAUUAGAUACCCUGGUAGUCCAUGCCGUAAACGUUGGGCGCUAGGUGUGAGGGACAUUCCACGUCCUUUGUGCCGCAGCUAACGCA
rnacentral:rRNA from 1 species